ensembl:lncRNA
GUUGCACACGAUGUCAGUAAAAAGUUAUCAUUGCUGUUCAGUCCUCACGACUUAUUUAGAAGGAGGCUUCAAAAUGCUGUUCCACAAGGUCCUCAACGUCUCCUGAAUACAUUGUGUCUGGGACAAUGUACUCCUCAUAAUCGACCCCCAGAAGCACGAUCACGCCCAUUCCGGAAGACACUCCGAUCACCUCCACCGUCUCCUCAAUGAGCCGCCUUUCUGAAACCUGUGUUUUUACAGUGUUUGGGCGGAGGUGGGUCAGCUCCACAGUGUCUCCAUUUAACACCUCGAUAAGAGCCUCAUCUCUCCACAGAGAAACCUCAACUGCUCUUGAGUUGCAGUUUAGCUUAAAGUCCAGGACGGGCACUUUACCAAAUUGCACCUGUGCCAUCCUCACCUCCUGCAACUACAAAUCACAUACCAGAGGAGACUGACGUACCCAUCUUCUGAAGGGUCCACUUUGUCCACGGAGACCAGAGGGGAAUGUGGAACAAGGAUCUCUCUGGCCCUUCUCUCCUGAUCUUCAUUGUUUAAUCAGUGGGUCACAGUUGUUCCUGCUAUACUCACCAUUCUUCGAUGAAAUGUAAGUGUUAUUUCCAUCUGUUACAACACUGAAUGCCGUAAAUCUGUGUUGCUCUACUUCAAUUUUGUCUCCACACUUUACAUAGGCUACUGCCUUUCUUGUGACACGUGUGGCAACGCAUUUACAUUUCAGUGGCUCCGGACGGCUGUAUGGACUGCAUGUUGCCAUUGUGAUGCUAAGAACAAAUACACAGAAAGGGUAAUUAUGAAACUUGUUAAUCUGAUUCAAACAGGACACAAUGCAGUUAAUAUGUUUACUGUACAUACAAAGUUACAAUUGAGCUAUCUUUUUUUACUUCAUACUCCACAAGAAUGUAUUUAUUAAUUCAUGUAAUGGAUUUUGAUGUAUUGAACUUUCUUGUCAGGGAGUGAAAAAGGGCAGUCUCUGACAGCAUACCCUUUCUUUUUCUUUUUACUUCAUAACCUGACAGGAUUUCUCUUUUUUUAAAUGUGCAGAGUGUUUUAGCGGCAUCUAGCGGUGAGGUUUGUGAAUUGUAACCAACGGCUUAGCCCCUGCUCACCCGUCCCUUUAGAGAAGCUUUACAGAUUUUGUGAAGUAAAGAUUUUCCUCAGAAAAUAAACUUUCCCGUCAGGAAUUGAAGAAAUCCUGUUUCUGACAGGAAAUCUAUAAAAUAUAUUUCUUGUGAAGUCAAGAUUUAGAUCAGAAAAUGUGUUUUCCUGUCAGAGAUAAUUUUCCCCCCUCUUUUUUUUUUUUUACUUGAUAUUCUGACAGGAUUAACUGUUAUUCUGUUUUUUUUAACUCCAUAUUGCACAGGAAUUUAUGUAUUCAUUCACUAAAUUUAUUGAAUUAGUUAUUUAUUGAAAGUUAUUGAUAAUAUUUAUUGUGAAGUAAAGAUUUAAGAUUUAUUUAUCCUUCAUAUUAAAUUCUUUAAAUCCUGUCAGAAUGGGUUUUAUUAAUGUCAUGUCUUCAUAAUCUUUUAAAAAUCACUAAUGUUAUUUGAAAUCAGUUAAAAAAAUACUUCAGAAAAUUAUUUUUCCAGUCAGAAACACUUCUCUGACCAAAUCCUGUCAGAAUAGGGUUUAUUAUAUUACAGUCUCUGUCUAUCCUGUCACUGUCAUAUAGGCCCUUAUCACUUACAUUUUUUUUUUGGAAGAAUUUAAUUUGUAGUUGUAAAGUUACAACUUUUAAUCACUGUUUGUAGAAAAGUAAAAUUGACUCACCUCAGACAAUAUGUGGUUGUUGCUGCUGCAGAGUAGUCAGUGAGUCGAGUGAGAGGGGGUCAGUGGGCCAGUGGUCUUAAACUUGGCAGUGGUCCAAUCAGAUGACGUCACCGAGGCGCAUAGUAACAAGAGGGUAAACUUCCUCUCUCUCUGUCUCUCUCCCUCCCUCCCUGUGUGUGGUUGUGUGUGUAUAUAUACAGGUUUGAUUGUAAUUGUUUGAGGGCCAAAUGUUCUCACUUGUAUAGGGAAAUAUCAUGACAACCAAGUUGUGAGAACACUAGUUAAAAGGGCUUAUAAAUGAGCCAAAACAUGUUUUUAUUCAAAUUUAGUGUUUUGCACACAUUGGGUUUAGGGCAGAGGUCCUGAAGGGCCGGUGUCCUGCAGAGUUUAGCUCCAUUCUUGCCUCAACACACAUGCUGGGAAGUUUUGUAGUAUGCCUAGUAAGAGCUUGAUAAGCUGGUUCAGGUGUGUUUAUUUGUCUAAACUCUACAGGACACUGGUCCUCCAGGACUGAGUUUGGGCACCUCUGUUGUUUAUCAUACUGUUAACUUGAUUGAUGUGAUCAUCAUGCAACUAACAAAUCUAAUUUGUCAUAUGUUUGUUUUCUACAGUAUAUCUGAUGCCUCCCGGAAUAAUUAAAAAAAAAAUAAUAAUAAUAAUAAUUGUAUGUAUUUAUUAAAUUUUUUUUUUAGUGAUUUGUGUUAUAAUGUAUUUAAAUAACUUAUUUAUUUGUAUGUUAAAUGUAUUUAUUAUUAAGAAAUUAUUUAUUAUAUAUUAUUAGAAUAAUGCAUGUAUUAAAAUUUAUUUUAAAUGAACAUUUUAAAUGAACUUGUUUUUAAUGAAUUUACUUUUUUAUAAAAAUGUUUUUAAAUUGACUUUUAUGUAUUGAAAUGAACUUACUUUCCCCCCAAUAAAACCGGUCCCUAGUUGACUGAUUCAUUUACUCAAUAUUUU